rnacentral:tRNA from 2 species
GGGGAUGUAGCGCAGUGGUAGCGCGUCCGCUUUGCAUUAUCGCGCCUGCGGAAGGCCCUGGGUUCAAUCCCCAGCUUCUCCA